UACGUAGGGUGCAAGCGUUAAUCGGAAUUACUGGGCGUAAAGCGUGCGCAGGCGGUUUUGUAAGUCUGAUGUGAAAUCCCCGGGCUCAACCUGGGAAUUGCAUUGGAGACUGCAAGGCUAGAAUCUGGCAGAGGGGGGUAGAAUUCCACGUGUAGCAGUGAAAUGCGUAGAGAUGUGGAGGAACACCGAUGGCGAAGGCAGCCCCCUGGGUCAAGAUUGACGCUACAUGCACGAAAGGCGUGGGAGCAAACAGG
rnacentral:rRNA from 1 species